AUUGAACGCUGGCGGCAUGCCUUACACAUGCAAGUCGAACGGCAGCACGGGAGCAAUCCUGGUGGCGAGUGGCGAACGGGUGAGUAAAGUAUCGGAACGUGCCCAGUCGUGGGGGAUAACGUAGCGAAAGUUACGCUAAUACCGCAUACGAUCUAUGGAUGAAAGCGGGGGAUCGCAAGACCUCGCGCGAUUGGAGCGGCCGAUAUCAGAUUAGGUAGUUGGUGGGGUAAAGGCUCACCAAGCCGACGAGCUGUAGCUGGUCUGAGAGGACGACCAGCCACAGUGGGACUGGGGCAAGGCCAAGACGCCUACGGGAGGCAACAGUGGGGAAUUUUGGACAAUGGGCGAAAGCCUGCUCCAGCCAUGCAGCGUGCAGGAUGAAGGCCUUCGGGUUGUAAACUGCUUUUGUACGGAACGAAAAGGUUUGGCCUAAUAAGCUGAGCUCAUGACGGUACCGUAAGAAUAAGCACCGGCUAACUACGUGCCAGCCGCCGCCGUAA
rnacentral:rRNA from 1 species